AUUGAACGCUGGCGGCAUGCUUUACACAUGCAAGUCGAACGGCAGCGCGGGGCAACCUGGCGGCGAGUGGCGAACGGGUGAGUAAUAUAUCGGAACGUACCCAGAAGUGGGGGAUAACGUAGCGAAAGUUACGCUAAUACCGCAUACGAUCUACGGAUGAAAGUGGGGGACCUUCGGGCCUCAUGCUUGUGGAGCGGCCGAUAUCUGAUUAGCUAGUUGGUGGGGUAAAGGCCCACCAAGGUGACGAUCAGUAGCUGGUCUGAGAGGACGACCAGCCACACUGGGACUGAGACACGGCCCAGACUCCUACGGGAGGCAGCAGUGGGGAAUUUUGGACAAUGGGCGCAAGCCUGAUCCAGCAAUGCCGCGUGAGUGAAGAAGGCCUUCGGGUUGUAAAGCUCUUUUGUCAGGGAAGAAACGGGACUGGAUAAUACCUGGUCCUAAUGACGGUACCUGAAGAAUAAGCACCGGCUAACUACGUGCCAGCCGCCGCAGUAA
rnacentral:rRNA from 1 species